GACGAACGCUGGCGGCGUGCCUAACACAUGCAAGUCGAGCGGGAAAGUUCUUCGGAACUUUUCUAGCGGCGGACGGGUGAGUAACGCGUGAGCAAUCUGUCCCAUACAGGGGGAUAACAACUGGAAACAGCUGCUAAUACCGCAUGAGACCACAGAGCCGCAUGGUUCAGGGGUCAAAGGAGCAAUCCGGUAUGGGGUGAGCUCGCGUCCGAUUAGCUGGUUGGUGAGGUAACGGCCCACCAAGGCAACGAUCGGUAGCCGACCUGAGAGGGUGAUCGGCCACAUUGGAACUGAGACACGGUCCAAACUCCUACGGGAGGCAGCAGUGGGGAAUAUUGGGCAAUGGGCGAAAGCCUGACCCAGCAACGCCGCGUGAAGGAAGAAGGUUUUCGGAUUGUAAACUUCUGUCCUUGGUGACGAAGGAAGUGACGGUAGCCAAGGAGGAAGCCCCCGGCUAACUACGUG
rnacentral:rRNA from 1 species